rnacentral:rRNA from 1 species
GACGAACGCUGGCGGCGUGCUUAAUACAUGCAAGUCGAACGGAAAGGCCCUGCUUUUGUGGGGUGCUCGAGUGGCGAACAGGUGAGUAACACGUGAGUAACCUGCCCUUGACUUUGGGAUAACUCCAGGAAACUGGGGCUAAUACAGGAUAGGAGCUCUUGCUGCAUGGUGGGGGUUGGAAAGUUUCGGCGGUUGGGGAUGGACUCGCGGCUUAUCAGCUUGUUGGUGGGGUAGUGGCUUACCAAGGCUUCGACGGGUAGCCGGCCUGGGAGGGUGACCGGGCACAUUGGUACUGAGGUAGGGCGCAGACGCGUACGGGAGGCAGCGGUGGGAAAUAUGGCGGAAUGGGCGGACGCCUGAUGCAACGACGCCGCGUGCGGGAUGCCGGCCUUCGGGGUGUAAACCGCUGUCGCCUGAGACGAAGCGUGAGUGACGGUAAUGGGUAAAGAAGCACCGGCUAACUACGUG